rnacentral:misc_RNA from 1 species
UACAUAGGGGCGAGCGUUAUCCGGAAUCAUUGGGCGUAAAGCGCGCGUAGGCGGCCCGGUAAGUCCGCUGUGAAAGUCAAAGGCUCAACCUUUGAAUGCCGGUGGAUACUGCCGGGCUAGAGUCCGGAAGAGGCGAGUGGAAUUCCUGGUGUAGCGGUGGAAUGCGCAGAUAUCAGGAGGAACACCGAUAGCGAAGGCAGCUCGCUGGGACGGUACUGACGCUAAGGCGCGAAAGCGUGGGGAGCGAACAGG